rnacentral:rRNA from 1 species
CCUACGGGUGGCAGCAGUGGGGAAUAUUGCACAAUGGGGGAAACCCUGAUGCAGCGACGCCGCGUGAAGGAAGAAGUAUUUCGGUAUGUAAACUUCUAUCAGCAGGGAAGAAAUUGACGGUACCUGACUAAGAAGCCCCGGCUAACUACGUGCCAGCAGCCGCGGUAAUACGUAGGGGGCAAGCGUUAUACGGAUUUACUGGGUGUAAAGGGAGCGUAGGCGGUUUUGCAAGUCAGAAGGGAAAGCCCGGGGCUCAACUCCGGGAGUGCUUUUGAAACUGUUGAACUGGAGUGCAGGAGAGGGAAGGGGAAUGCCUGGUGGAGCGGUGAAAUGCGUAGAUAUUAGGAGGAACACC